rnacentral:rRNA from 1 species
GACGAACUUUGGCGGCGUGCUUAACACAUGCAAGUCGAACGGAAAGGCCCUGCUUUUGUGGGGUGCUCGAGUGGCGAACGGGUGAGUAACACGUGAGUAACCUGCCCUUGACUUUGGGAUAACUUCAGGAAACUGGGGCUAAUACCGGAUAGGAGCUCCUGCUGCAUGGUGGGGGUUGGAAAGUUUCGGCGGUUGGGGAUGGACUCGCGGCUUAUCAGCUUGUUGGUGGGGUAGUGGCUUACCAAGGCUUUGACGGGUAGCCGGCCUGAGAGGGUGACCGGCCACAUUGGGACUGAGAUACGGCCCAGACUCCUACGGGAGGCAGCAGUGGGGAAUAUUGCACAAUGGGCGGAAGCCUGAUGCAGCAACGCCGCGUGCGGGAUGACGGCCUUCGGGUUGUAAACCGCUUUCGCCUGUGACGAAGCGUGAGUGACGGUAAUGGGUAAAGAAGCACCGGCUAACUACGUGCCAGCAGCCGCGGUGAUACGUAGGGUGCGAGCGUUGUCCGGAUUUAUUGGGCGUAAAGGGCUCGUGGGUGGUUGAUCGCGUCGGAAGUGUAAUCUUGGGGCUUAACCCUGAGCGUGCUUUCGAUACGGGUUGACUUGAGGAAGGUAGGGGAGAAUGGAAUUCCUGGUGGAGCGGUGGAAUGCGCAGAUAUCAGGAGGAACACCAGUGGCGAAGGCGGUUCUCUGGGCCUUUCCUGACGCUGAGGAGCGAAAGCGUGGGGAGCGAACAGGCUUAGAUACCCUGGUAGUCCACGCUGUAAACGGUGGGUACUAGGUGUGGGGUCCAUUCCACGGGUUCCGUGCCGUAGCUAACGCUUUAAGUACCCCGCCUGGGGAGUACGGCCGCAAGGCUAAAACUCAAAGGAAUUGACGGGGCCCCGCACAAGCGGCGGAGCAUGCGGAUUAAUUCGAUGCAACGCGUAGAACCUUACCUGGGUUUGACAUGGAUCGGGAGUGCUCAGAGAUGGGUGUGCCUCUUUUGGGGUCGGUUCACAGGUGGUGCAUGCCUGUCGUCAGCUCGUGUCGUGAGAUGUUGGGUUAAGUCCCGCAACGAGCGCAACCCUUGUUCACUGUUGCCAGCACGUUAUGGUGGGGACUCAGUGGAGACCGCCGGGGUCAACUCGGAGGAAGGUGGGGAUGACGUCAAGUCCUCAUGCCCCUUAUGUCCAGGGCUUCACGCAUGCUACAAUGGCUGGUACAGAGAGUGGCGAGCCUGUGAGGGUGAGCGAAUCUCGGAAAGCCGGUCUCAGUUCGGAUUAGGGUCUGCAACUCGACCUCAUGAAGUCGGAGUCGCUAGUAAUCGCAGAUGAGCAACGCUGCGGUGAAUACGUUCCCGGGGCC